CAAGUUCUUAGCUGUCUGGUAAAUUUUCCUGACUUUCAUUGGUUGGUGCUGCUGUCCCUGGAGUCUAACGGCCUUGGCAGCUUGUUUCAAGGUGGGGCAAACGCAAUCUGGGUCUUCUGGCGAAGCUCGCUGCAGCACUUCUGGAGUAGCGAGGGUCUCUGCGGGUUCUCGAUGUCGUCUUCCUAAUCGAACUCAUCGUCGAGGGAAGGACCACCACCAUGGCCUUGUCUCAUUUGCUUGCGCAUCAAUCGCUGGCAAGCUCUAAGGUGUUGUUCUUUCUGAAACUCCCUCUGACAUUUCUGUCUUGGGCCUAUGGGGUUGCUGGCGUCAUAGUUCGACGACAGUGCGGUAGAUGGAAGCGUUGGUGAGGAGGAAGCAGAGAGCGAGAGAUGUGCAGACGAGGACGAGUUUGUUCGCCAUUUUUUGCUACUAACUUAGGUAUAUUUUUUGUUUGAGUGAAGAGUGAAAUGAAGGGGUUAUGGGUAUUUAUGGACAAGUGAGGAGUUUGGCAUGGAGAUCACGUGUAUGAAUGCAUGCACAGCAAUAAAAAAAUAAAACAUUUCAUGCAUGUGAUUAUGUGUUAUGUGAGCGCGAAAACACCUCCAAUUUGAUUAUGUGUUAUGUGAGCGAAUGCAUGCACAGCAAUAAAAGGUUGUUUUCGCGAUUAGGUGUUGGAAACUCAAAUUGGAGGUGUGACAAGUCAUGGACAACACCUAGUCUCCGAAAGUUGCACAUAUUAAGAGCAUCUCCAAUGGUGAGAGUCCCCCAUGGGCUCUCACCAAUUGUUUAAACAUAUUUUUUUUUGAAUUUUUAGAUGAGAACUUGGGGUUUUUUUUUUUAAUUUUCAUAGUCUAAUGGUAGUUUCUCUUGUGGGGUUCUUAAAAUUUUUUUUUUUUAAAAUAUUUUGAUUUUGAUGUAAUAUGAUGUUUGGUUUUGAUGUAAUUUGAUGAAUUAGGACAAAGUAAUUGGUGUAAUUAGUGUUUGGUGUUUCAAGAGUUCAUAAUCACAUCAAAAACUUGUCAAAUGCAAAAAAUAGAUUCAUGAUCUACACAUAUUAAACUUGUCAAAUGCAAAACAGAGAUUCAUGAUCUACACAUAUUUUGAUUUGAGUGUCUUGUCUCCUACUUGGCCUAUACAAGACAGAUUUGGUGUCUUCUACAUCAAAAACACAUUCAAAACAAAGCACGUUCAAAUUUAAUAGCAUAGACAAUUCACAAGCAACAUUGAACUUGCCUUCUCCACUGCCUUUCUCCUCUUGGCUUCUCCAUUUGCAGUUCUCCAUUUAUACUCAACAAAAACAGAGAGAAAUAAAGCACAUUAGCAUAAACAAUUCACAUUCAAAAACUAUAUAUUGAUUCAACAACCUAAUCAAACACAACCAACCACACUUUCUAAUUUCUCAACAACCAACAAAAUUGUUAGGCUACAAACGUUUAGAAAACGGAAUCAAAACGUCCAUGAGCUUCUUGAAUCUCUCUUUAGUGCUCUCUUCAAUCUCCUUCAAAAGCUUCUCAUUCCCUUCCUCUAAUUUCGCAGCCAAAGUCUCUAACUCAACUUGAUAAGCUUGUUUCCUCUCUCGAGACCUAGCAGCGGAUUCACGGUUCUUGAUCAUCCUCUUCUGUCUUUGAGCUGCAGCUUUAUCCAUUGCCUUCGUCAUCACUCUCCCUCUCUUUCCUCUCAUUCCUCCUCCUCCAACCAUUGAUCCUUCAAUCAUCUGAAACGAACUGUGUUGCUGCGGCUGAGACAUCAUUGGAAAAUCGAAUGUAUAGCUACCGUCGUUGCCUCCGUCAUCACUCUCCCUCUCUUUCCGUUGUUAACGUUGUUCCGAUCCUUUGUACCAAAACGUGAAGCUUGAAGUUGGUUGUUCUCAGGGCAGACCAUAGGAGUUUAACCUAGCAUUGCCAAACCUGUUAUUUAGAUUAGUGGAUUAGUGGAGUUCACAAUUAAGAAACUGAUUCCAAACAGAAAUAAAGACCUUAAUUCAAGAGCAGCAACAUCAUUAAACUCAGUAUAUGCUUCUAAGGUUAAUAAACUGAAUCAAAUACACCUAGAACAUUACAAUCAAGUACUUAUCAUACAACUAGGCAAGUUAUCGUAUCUCUGCUUCUAAGUUAGUUUCCACGUUUUACCACAAUGUUUUAUACAUAGGUUCAUACAUAUAAAGCUCUCAUGAUUUAGAAUCAAACAAAAACUACCUUUCGAUUACUCCAUCAAGGCAUGAUCUUCUUCCCAAGAAGCAAGAUGCACACACUCACACUAUCACCCACUUAAAGAUCUUGUUCAACACUAGAAAGUAACUUUUCUUUUGACUACUUCAGAAGCAGCUGAAAGAUAUGAUUACAACAACAAAACCCAGCGUUUUUCCAGCAAAUUCUAAAAUGAUGGAACACCCAAGAGAGAAAAAAUAGCAUCUUGCGUGAUGAUAUCAAAGAGUAUCAUCUCCAAACUAGUUUGAGCAAGUUUCAAAAAUCAGUUUGAUCAUCUUCAACCUAAGCUACACAAGAUCAAUUUGCAAAUAGUAAACUUAAAAUUCCCACCUCACAAACAUAUCUACACACAAAAAUUCCAUGAAACCUUAAGGAACCCCAGAAACAACAAAACGAAAACCCUAAUUAUGACAACUAAUUGCGCAAAUCUACACACACAAAAUUGGAGGAUUAACGCAGACAACAAAACACCACCCGAAGCAAGUUUUCCAAUUUCAUGGAGAAAUUGAUAGUGGGGAAAGCUUUAAUCUAAACCUAAUUUAUUAUUUGAUGAUCGAGACGGCGGAUGAUGAUGAUCGAGACAUGAUCACAAAUCUCCUCUGUUUUUGCAGUGGGAGAGAAAGAGAGGAGGAAGAGAGAGAGAAAACACGAACGUCGUUUUUUUGUUUCCUUUCAUAUUAAACGCAUUGACUCACACGACGACACGUCAGCGGCUCUCUCUGAUUCUCAAAUGUCUCUCAAGAGAAUCGGUUCUUUGAUUAUUUAGUAGUUUUGAUUUAUUUUAAUUGCAAUUAAACAAGAGAACCCCACAAUUUUUACUUGAAAACCUUGCUUUGGAGAUGCUCUUAUUAUAUCAUGAAAAAACAAAAAAAAAGUCCAAAUAACUAUAAUUUUUGGUUAUUAGUUAUUAGCAUAUACAAGAGUUAGUAUACAUACUUGCAUAGUCUAAAUGUGAUGUUUUGUAUAUUUAUACUAGCAUUUUUGCAACACUUUGGUGACGGGUGGGUAAAAAUGCUUCUGGGUUAAUCAGAUAUCCGACCCGUUUUUUAAAAUCCUUCACAAAAAAAUUGUUGGAUCGGAUUAUAUUUAACCCAACUCAUACACCGGAUAUUUCAUAUUUAAUAAUUUAGAUAUUUAGAAGAUUUGAUUAAGAUUUAGAAUUAUGAUUCUCCUAUUAUCUUUGUUUGAUUUGUUUUUAACUGUUUUGAAUCAUCAUAGAAUACAUAAAAGUAAAAAAAAAACCAAUUUUUUUUUCUGCAUAUACUGUGAUUCGAAAUUUUUAAAACGGACAUAUAUUAUCUAAUUGACGAAAAUGUGUGUUCAACGUUCUACAUCGAUUAAAAUAUUUAGAUAAUGAUUCAGAAUCAUAUCAUAAAUAAGAUCAACAUUAAUAAAAUAAAUGAGUUUUUUAGCCAGACGGGUUUGGCGGGACGGGUUUUUGAAUCAACAAAUAAUAAAAAAUUAAAAUAUCAUUAAUCUGCCGCUUCAAUACGGAUUAAAUCUUUUUUUUAAUACCACCAAUAUUAGACAUAUUAAAUCAGUCUCAUUUAGAAAAGAUUGUAUAAAACCAAAAAUUGUCCCGUGGUAUAAUGUUACUUAAUAACAAUAUUUAUAAAAUUUAAAUAUCAUUAACAUGCCGCUUUAAUACAUAUUAAAUCUUCAGUUUAUUAAAAUAUAAAUGUCUUAGAGAAUGAUAUGAUUUGUAAACUUUUAUAUAUAAUAAAUAAUCAUUAAAUAUUAAAAUAAAAACAAAUAACGGGACGGGUUGAGAAAUUACGGAACGAGUUAUAUUUCGGAAAAGAUUUAUAUGGCGGACGAAUUUGAAUCAAUAUUUAUAUACCGCUUUAAUACGGGUUAAAUCCUUAGUAUAUUAAUAAUUGUCUCGUGGACUCUUGGUAUACCGUUACUUAAUAACAAUUGUAAACAAUAAUAUAAAUAAAUAUGUUAUAAGGAGAUACAAUUUACAAAAUAUUUUUAUACUAACUUUAAAAUUAAAUCAUCCCGCGAUGUACCGCAGGUUAAAAUCUAGUAUAAUAUUAUAACUUCAAGAAAUCGCUAUUUUGGAUGAACAAGAAAUUAAAACUUUUCCAAAUCACUAGCUCCCGCGACAUGUCAAUCAAUAUUGUUUUGUUCAUAAGUUUUUUAAUAAACAAUACUGUAUUUGUUAUGACAUCUCCUAGUUCGAUCGGGCCUGAAGUAUUGUCUGGUUUAAUUUGGUUUCGGUUUAGUUCGAUUGGUUAAUUUGAUAAAAUCUAAAUUUGAAAUCGAUGUAUAUAUUCUUUUUUCUUUAUUUUUAUUCAGAAUGAAUUUGCAUCUACUAAUCAUAGAGUAGGCUUUAGUAAAUAGGAGACCAGUACUGGUUUAAUAGGACGGCAACAUCAGUAAGCUAGUUAAGUAGUUGCAUAAAAAGAAAUUAAGUAGAUGAGUUUAGUAAUUACAUCGAGGAAUUGGGAAUGAGAUACGUUCUUGCCACCAAAAAGAGAUUCCAAAUUGGUAAGGGCCAUAUCUUCGUUGGGCAGUUGAGAAUAAGUCUUGCCUGAGUCAUUUUUUCGAUCCUUAUUUGGAACUUGAUAAACAAACCUCUCAUUUAUUACGGUGUAUAGUGCUAAUUACAUUAGCCUCAAACAUCCUAAGCUUACAGUUUUAUAAAACACACACGAUGACUGUGUAUAGUAUUAACAUACAUCAAUAGCCACACUCAUGAUCAUCGUGCUAGGGCUUGGAAUCUAGUAGUAAGGAGGGAAGAAAGGGAUGGUGCUCUGGAAGGGACAUUCACCAACUUGCUGGAUUUUGCAAACGUUAGGCAAGUACUUAGCUGUCUGGUAAAUUUUCCUGGAUUCGAAUGGUCCGUGCUGUCCCUGGAGUCUAACAGCUCUAGCCGCCUGUUUCAAGGUGGGGCAAACGCAAACUGGCUCUUCCUGGCGAAGCUCGUUGCAGCACUGCUGGAGUAGCUGGUGUCCCUGCUGGGGGCCCUGUGGGUUCUCCAUGUCGUCUUCGAAAUCGAACUCAUCGCCACGACCUUGCCUUGUUUGCUUCUGCAUCCAUCUCUGGCAAGCUCUUAGGUGCUGUGAUUGCUGGAACUCCUUCUGGCAUCUCUGUCUUGGGCCCAUGGGGUUGGUGGCGUCAUCUUCCUCGAACUCGACGACUGUGCGGUAGAUGGAAGCGUUGGUGAGGAGGAAGCAGAGGGCGAGAGUUGCGCAGACGAGGAAGAGCUUGUUUGCCAUUUUUUGCUAUUUGUGUAUGUUUUCUUGUUUUGGUUUGAGUGAAGAGUGUAGUGAAGGGUUGGUUUUUAUUUAUAGGUGACAAAGGAGAUUUGCAUGGCAAUCACGUGUAAGAAUGCAUGAGUGUGUGUGGAGUCAUGGAGAGAGAGAUUCUCUUACGUUGUUGUCGGGAUUAGGUGUUGGAAAAGAGUGACAAGUGACGAACAAUACCACUCCUAGGCUCCUAGCUCCGCUUCUGCAUGCUAUGUGUGAUUUGUAGCUCAUUUUCUGACAUGACAUUAUGAACGAUUAUAUUUUUUAGAAUUAAGAAGGUAAAACUUUUUUAGUAAAACACACUUUUAAUUUGGUUUUGAUCGAAUGAGAUGCGAAUUCAAUCUUUUGGUGGUAGUGCUGUUGGAAAUAUAGUUUUGUGAGCUUAAUCAGAAACUUAGAAUUUUAAAAUAAAUCUAUAUAGUCACGCAGGCCCGGCUCACUCAUCGGUAAGACCCGGUGCCAUACAAAAAAAAAUCUUAUCUUUAAUAAAAAAUUUAUAUAUAUAUAUAUAUAUAUAUAUUUACAAAAAGUUAUAUUUCAUAAAUUAUUUUGUAUUUUAUAGCUAUUUGGACAUGUUAUUUUUGUUUAUUAAUUUUGGGGCUCAAUAUUACCUUUUAAAAUAAAAUUUUGGGACCUUUACAUAUGGAUAUUGUAUAAAAUUUCAGCAUAAUUAAAUAAUUAAAUAAUAAAAAAACUAUGAAUUUGGACCUUAAAUUUGUUGGACCCGGUGCAAAUGCACCACUUGCACAUGCCAAUAACCGGCCCUGUAGUCACGGUUCACGAACCAUGUAAUAAAAUUUUAUAAAAUAUGAGGGAUAUAUAUUAAAAAAAAAUUCAUAAAUAUUUAACCCUCUAAAUGACUCGUACAAAAAAUACAAACAAUAAGUAAUUUAUCUCUUACAUAAAAUCAGUGGUAAUAAAUUAAAGUUAAGAAAUAAAACCGAAAUAUGUGAGACACACACAUAAUUAGAGGUGUCAAAAACUCAAAAUGCGUCAAAAUUAAACUUAUAGAUUUACCAAAACAUUAUAACCCAAACCGUGAACUACAAGUCAAAGAAAGUAUCAGGAACCAUGUUUUGACUGAAAAUUCAAAAGAGAGAGAUGAAGAGAAUGAGAAGAAGAUAUACAAAAUAUUUUACGAAUUCUGAAUCGAGAGUUAGUACAUCGACUAGUUCAAUCUAGCAAUUACUAUGUUUUUCAUUUCAAAGAGUUAGAAUGACUCAAAGAUAUGAAUGAUACAAAAUCCGAUCCAUAAGACCCAUUAUAUUCUCGAACUUUCCAACCACGUUUAGCUUAAACCAAAGUAAACCCUUUCAAAACCAGACUAAUGGCUCUUUCAGAAAUCUGCAUGCAGCUCUUAACCAGAACUAAUUGUGUUCCCAGAACAACAUCAACACGUUUUUACAAGACAUUGUUUUCUCUGUUUGUUUGAUUGGUAACGUUUUACACUCUUGACCACAAUGGCUAGCCCUUUUUUACAACAAUUGUUAGCGACUAUCGGUCAAACCGAUCAUGUAUGUAAAUUAUAUCAUUUUUGAAUUUCGCUUCCACGGGAUCAUAUCUAAUGUACAAUUAAAUGGCAUGUCUCUUCCACUUGAUGGCGUGCAAAUUCUUGAGGCCAAAAUAGAUAUUAAAACGCACGUGGUAGGGCGGUGGUAACUGGGACUAUGGUGUAAAUACAGACCAGCAUGAUGCUUCAUUCUUAUAGAGAACAAAUUUUCUGCGUGUUGGAUCACUUGGAACUGUGCUUUGGUCAAGUGUUUUAUCCAUGGUGUAGUUUGCCGCACACUCUUGCAAACAAAUUAUUCACCCUUGAAAGUAGUCAGCGCAUAGCCCUAAGUUUUAGUAUGUGUGCAGUGCCGGUCCGGUGAAAUCCGGGGCCAAAUACGAAAAGAAAAAUUGGGGUUUUUUUUAAAAGUAGAAACUGCUAAAAAAUUUUUUUUUGCUAAUUAUGGAGCAUUUAUAAUUUUUAUUUAACAAUUUUUCUUAAAUUUUAAAGAUUUUUUGCUAAUUAUGAGGCCUUUUUGCUAAUUGUGAAGUCUUUUUUUGUUAAUUUUUGAGGCCUCUUUUACUAUUUUGAAGCUUUUUUUUGUUAAUUUUUGAGGCCUCUUUUACUAAUUUUGAAGUCUAUUUCAUAAUUUUAGGGCCUCAAAAAAAAAAAAAAAAAAUUCUUCACAAAAUGAGCCUCGAAAAUUUGAGACCCAAUACAAAUGAUUCACCAAAAUGGGUGAAGGGCCGGGCCUGUAUGUGUACGCGCGAGUCGGUGACUGAACACCAAGUGCUAUACCAAGAAAGAAAUAGCUAGCAUGCAAAAAUGUUCUUUGCAUAUAUCAUAUCAUGCCUGGGCAUUCGGAUUUCAGAUCGGAUUCGGUUCGGAUUUAUUCGGAUUCAGAUAAUUCGGGUAGGAGAUUUUAUUAUCCGUUCGGAUUUUAUGACUAUUCGGAUCGGAUUCGGUUCGGAUAGUAUCGGAUUCGGAUCGGUUUCAGAUCGGUUUUGGAUUGUUUUUCGAGUAAAAAAAACUAAAAAAUGUUCAAUUCAAAUAAAAAAAUAGUUUAAUCUUACUAAAAUUUGGCUAAGUUUUCCAAAAAUAUGUAUAAUUUUAACAAAUAUAACUAAAAACUUUCUGAUAUCUAGGUUAUUUAGGAUAUUUUUGUUAUUUGUUAUAAAAUUAUAGCUAAAUAUAACUAAUAUUUUUGGAUAUAUAAUUUUAUUUUCGGUUUUCGGAUAUCCUUUCGGUUUUCGGUUCAGAUGUGGUUCGAUUCGGAUAAUUCGGAUAGGAGAAUUCAUUAUCUGUUCGGGUUUUGUGACUAUUUGGUUCGGAUUCGGAGCCAGAUUUUUUGGAUCGGUUUCGGAUUGGUUUUCGGAUUUUAUGCCCAGGCCUAAUCAUAUGGAUAAAUGUUUAAUACUUAAGAGUUGAUAAGAUGAUCUAGAAUUAGUUGCAAAUUAUCUUCACCAUAUCUUCAGUUGUGAGAAACAUAUAAUUGAUUGUUAGAGCCUAGAGGGGCACAGUCAUAGAGCAGUUUUUAAUUGGUAUUUUGCUUAACCUGUAAAUUUGAUUGAAAAAUAUUUCGGACCACCUAGAGAGAGCGUAUGCAAGUGAAAAUUAAACAUAAACAAAACUCUUAUUUAUUAAGGACUUGUGCUAAUUACAUUAAUCUCAAACAUCCAAAACUUACAUUUUCAUAAAACACACGAUGAGGUGUGGUGUUAACAUGUAUCAACAACCACACGCUCAUACGCUCGAUGGUUUUGUUUGGAAUCUAGUAGUAAGGAGGGAAGAAGGGGAUGGUGGUCUGGAAGGGGCAUUCACCAACUUGCUGGAUCCUGCAAACCUUAGGCAAGUACUUAGCUGUCUGGUAAAUUUUCCUGGAUUGGAAUGGUCCGUGCUGUCCCUGGAGUCUAACGGCUCUAGCCGCCUGUUUCAAGGUGGGGCAAACGCAAACUGGCUCUUCCUGGCGAAGCUCGUUGCAGCACUGCUGGAGUAGCUGGUGUCCCUGCUGGGGGCCCUGUGGGUUCUCCAUAUCGUCUUCGAAAUCGAACUCAUCUUCACCACCACGACCUUGCCUUGUUUGCUUCUGCAUGAAUCUCUGGCAAGCUCUUAGGUGCUGUGAUUGCUGGAACUCCUUCUGGCAUCUCUGUCUUGGGCCCAUGGGGUUGGUGGCGUCAUCUUCGUUGAACUCGACGACGGUGCGGUAGAUGGAAGCGUUGGUGAGGAGGAAGCAGAGGGCGAGAGUUGCGCAGACGAGGAAAAGCUUGUUCGCCAUUUGGUAUUUGUAUGUGUUCUUACUCGUUAUUUGUGAUGAUGUAAAGAGUGGAAUAAAGUGGUUAAUUUAUAGGUGAAAAAUGAGAUUGCAUGGUGAUCACGUGUAAGAAUGCAUGUGUGUGUGAGAGAGUGAAUUUUUAGAGGAUGUGCAAUGGGAGUCUCUCGUCAUAGUCUCUCACAUAUGUGGAUGUCGGAUUCACACACUCAAGUAUUUUGUUAAGUGGGAAAGAUUAUUCUUGAGGGACAAAAAUGAAUAUGUAAAAACUUAUAAAUUGAUACGAAAAUUGCUAUAGUAUUUCUCUCUUGAGAGGAAGAUCCCCUUUUACAUGGUCAUUGGCCUCUAUAUUUAUACAUAGAGAAACGACAUUAAAAUGAAUAAUUAAGUACAAUUAUUCCUUCUUAAAUGUGUCCGUUUUGAUUCUUCGACUUUAAUGCUCAACGUUUGAAUUUGAGUUGACUCUGAUCUUCAUGGGACUCGCCUUUUUGGCCCAAGUGUCUUUGAACCGACUUACCCGUGUCUUCUACACUGAACUCGUAUCACAGUGCAGUCACUUCGGAUUCUCGAUGUGGUGACAACCACUUCGACCGUCCCCUCGGUUCACGGGUCCAAUGGGCUUCAUCCUUUAUGGGCCACCCGCUUGACUAUGUGGCAAUCUUUGGUUGGUCUCGUACUUCUGGUGCGGGAUCCGACACCAACAAUUAGCCCCCCAAGUUCUUCGAAGUGCUUUUCCAAUUCGGAGGACUUUAAAUGCUCAAGUGGCCAAAGAUUGCGCUCGAGAAUCUUUCUGAUUUCCCGCCGAAAAUCUCAUCACUCCUUUAAUUUUGGCACUAGCCAUUUUUAACCGAGUGACAUCUGUCAUCAUUAUGACCGUAUAUUGAUUAAUUACUAUUAAAACGGGAAAAAACCUUCCCACUUCCCACACGACUUCCGGGCGGUUUCAUCAUUAGCUUGAGGUAACUUCUUUUCACCAUUACUCUCUUCUUUUAUUUUUGUACUUUAAUCAAAACCUCUCUCUUCGUUCCUUCACCAAAACCCCUCUUCGCCGGAUCUUGAAUUUUUCUUUGUUCCCAAUGACUUCCGAUUCUGAUAGACCCGAGUCUCCGUCUUUCGACGAAAGACGUUCUAGUAACGACGAGUGCACCCGCCCUGGUGAUAUUGCCGGUCCGCACUAUAGGUCCGCUUGUACUCUUCAAUCCCUCGAGCGAUUGAGAGAGCUUUGCCGGAUUCCGCCGGAAAUUAUGGCGGAAGCACAAAUAGCUUCCCCCACAGAAUCUCCAGAGAACCAUCGCGAUGGUUACUUCUGUGUGUAUGAGAUUUAUUUCAAGGGUUGCGGGCUGACCUUUCCUCUUCCUGAAGCCUUAGUUUUAUACCUAGCGGCUCUUGAAAUCGCUCUUCCUCAAUUAACCCCCAAUCUUCUUCGUACUAUUCUUGGCCUUAUAACAAUCGCGGCGGAGGCCGGUUACGUUAUCGGAGUUGCUGAACUAAAUGAGCUUCUGAGUGUGAGAAGUUCAUCGAAGAAAGCGGGGUACUUCUCAGCAUAUCCUAAUGCCAACAGGAACAUCAUUUCACAUCUUCCGAACAAGGAUGAAAAUUGGCAUCAUCCUUGGUUUCUAAUUAAGAAAACUCCCGCUUCGAUUGGAAAUCUCGCAUAUUUUCUCCCUUCGAAGUGGUCUGCGAAACCCGGUAGUCAUUAGGUUGCCCGUAUCUUUCCCGGUUGUUUCUUUAUCUUUAUUGACUAACACCGUUGUUUCUUUCGCAGCUUUCAUCGCUUCCAUUCUCCCAUCUGAAGAGUUCAUCGAAUUCUUCAAAAUAAUUCUUGAAGGGGAAACCCUUUGGAAUUCCUUCACUCUUGAACGAUUCCUAGAGGCUAACCACAGACUCAGGAUGAGUCCGCCUGGUCAUCUUCACCAAAUUCCUCCCCCUCCCUCAACUCAGGGAAUGUCAUCUCGGGCCCUUGCGGCCAAGCGUAAGUUGCUUUCCAAGCCGAUGGCUGAGGCUUGCGAGGAGAAGAAAAAGUUUCUCGCGACUUCUAUAGACAAGAAGGACUAUAGUAGGACCUUGCUGGUUGAUGAUGGCAGUACCGAGGGAGCCCGAUCUGUUGCUUCCUUCAGACUAACUCCUCGUCGCGACCGCCGCGACUCACGUUCUCCUCGGAGGGAUCAAUCUCCUCGCCGUGAUUCACCUCGUCCUCCCCGAGAUGAUUUUAGUAACGAGCCAAUUAAGAACUUGGUUCGCCGGAAGAGAGACAAAUCCUCUCGCAGUGAUCCUUCCCCGCAGAGGGAAAAGUCAAGGGCCCGGACUGACCGCUCACCUCGGUCAUCCCCUCCUUCUGAACCAAUGGGUCCUCCACGACCGGUUGACAUGUCCUCCUCUUCCCAGCCUGAUAGUGGAAAGACUGCCCGGAGCGCGUCUCCGAAAAAGGGAGACUCUGAAUCUCGAGAUGCUCCCUCGAGGCUGAAGCCUGCUCUUGUCCCUCAAGUCAAAUCGCUUUCAGGUUUGGUGAUUUACACAUACUUAAACUUUUUGUCUUUAUUAAAAUUCCAAUUUUUACAACUCUUCCUUCUUCGCAGCUAUGGAGAAAGAGGACAGCGUCUUCCGAUGCUUCAAGACCCGAUCGGGUUCGAUCUUACCAGACUUCGACAAAUGGCGUCCUGCAAUUCGUGAACGUUAUUUGCUUCAUGCGCAUCACUCAUCUCGGGUUAGUUCCGCUUUCUUUUAUGUAUAUUUUUUAUUGUAUUGCCAUUCUGCGAACUGACUCGUCAUCCCGGGUUCAUGUAUAACGCCAGGCUCAUAGCGAAUUUAACGACAUGAUCGAACAUUACGAAGGGUUGGUCAUUGGCCGGGAGAAGGAGAUUGACAUGUGGAAAAAGAAACUCUCUGCCCUUGAGGCCGAACUCAGUUCUUCUGCCGGCUCCAAGCACGAUCUGGAGGACAAAGUCGACAAUUUAACAUCCGAGCUAGCGCAGAUAAAGGGGGAGCUGCAGGGUCAGUACGACCAGAACUUCAAACUCCAGGAAGAGUUUUCUGGUAUUCAAGGUAGGCUUCAAGAGUCCGAAUCAAACGCUGAUUCCCUGAACAACCAACUCAUCGAGCUCAACGCGAAGUACAAGGCGAUCGCCAAAUUGCGUGACUCCGAGUUGGCGAGGUCAGCAUCAAAAGCCAGAAAAGAGGUUAAGGGACGCGGGAUGGAGUUGAUCCAAGGGGCCAUCCGAUUCAUGCAGACUGAGAAGGCUAGGUCUGACUUGGAAUCAGACAUCAAGGAGCACGAGAGCAACCUGAUCCUGCUGGAUCAAAUCCAUGAUGCAGAUUUCUCCGAGGAUCAAGAGAGAACCGAACUAUCGGCUAAUCUUUCUGAAAAGCGGAGUCGCUUGGCAGCUCUUCCUACUUCGACCUUCAACCCUCAGGACUUCGAGGAAUUCUUCACCGAAUCGCCUCCUAUAAGCGAAUCAGGUCUAGACUGGGCAGGUAAUGCUUGGCUCCUGAUAUUUAUUACCUUUCCUUUUCUUGCACCUUUGAUUGACUGGAAUUAUUAUUCCUAGGCUCAAGUGAGGCGGAGGACGUUGUCCCGCCCGUAGCUCCUAUGGUAUCGGAGGUCACUCCGGAGGUUGGUUGUACCGCGGAGGGUGGUCAGGGAGCUUCAUCUGAUCAAGCAGCUGCCAAGGACGCGAAUGAAGCUUCGACUGUUGAGCCGGACUCCGAGGUGGCUGCUGCUCCGUAGUGGCUGUGUCCACUUUAAAUUGGGGAUUGUCCCUUUAUUUUUAAGAUUUAAUUUCAAACUUAUUUUUGCCUAAGGAGGCUUUAUUAUUUUCUUUUGAACAAGAUAUUUGCCUGAGGAGGCUUUUAAACCUUUCUAGGUUGUGACCCAAGGGGGUUUGGUUAAAAUUAUAUGCGGGUUUGCAAAGUCCGCUUUUAACCUUUUGUGGCCUUGUGGCUAUGCUUUUGAGAUAUUUAGGCUGAUCAGACCUUUCUCUUUUAGAAUGCGAGAACUGAGCCCGGCUUAAAACGAGUUCCCCACUUCGGGUUUAGUCAACUCGAUAAACUUGUUGGGCUUGGGCCUUAGAAACUUUUGCAGUUAAUGCGACGGUUGCUCUUUCCCUUCUUAAAGAAAACGGCUCGUCUUUUAAUGUAAUAAUUGCCUUUUCUCGAUUUUCCAAAAAUGGUUUAACCCACUCGGAAACGCUACCAUUAAUGGAUUUAUGGUUCCAAGACAAACCCUAAAUCAUUAUAAAUAAAGGCUUACCUACCUCUAGGCUUUAUUAAACAUGACUCUAGAGUCUUACUUGAGAAAUAUUUUAAGAAUGGAGAACGAAACAGCAGCCCCCGUUGAUCCCGGCAGUCCACUCUUCUUAUCCGGCGACGGCUUUGAACCGGCCGGCGUUCUCUUCCCUCACGCCGUCUUUCACUUUCCUCCGAAGGAGAAGAAAGAGGCUUGCGAUUUUAUUGACAAGGUAAAUGUUAGAGUUUUUGGUUUAAAACUUCUUAUUUCGUUUUAUUCACUCAUUUUUAUGCUAGGUCGCCGACAAGCACCGUCGCUUGUGUGAAGAGAGGCAGCGGCUGGGACUCAAAAGGCAGACGCUCGAGGCUCGCAUCGCUCGGGUGGAAAGGAAGAUACGGGCUUUGGAGAGUGAUCCCUUUCAAUGGGAGUGGCGGAACUUCGAUUCUGUUGCUGAGAUCCCGAAGAUGCUUCAGAUGUAUCUCCGCGCUAGAGGAGUCCCGGGUCCCGUGAACGCCCCUGUCUUCGCCGUUCCAUCCGACAGUGAAGAGGAAGAGGACUUGGAGGAGGAGGCCAGCAACUGCCGGAAACGCGUUCGGGAUCGCUCCGAAGUGGAUGCCAAAAACAAGGCGUCCACUUUGAAGACUGAACCGGCGAUGAAGGAGCCUGUUCCUGAGCCUCUCCCAUAAAUGUUCUCUAAUUUCUUCACUUCUUCUUUUUUUUUUUUUUAAACUCGUAAUGGGCUUCGCCCCCUUUUUAUUUAUGGAAAUAUUUGCUACUUUCCUUUCUUUCCAAAUAUUCUUGGAGAUGCGUCUUUUAAUGCAGGAUCCGUUCGAGGGCAUAAAUCUCUCCGCGAAUCAUUCCAUUCCUUGGAUAGAAUCCGCAGCUUGCUAGGGAUAUGGAGUUCCUAUAAAUUAUAGGUUCAAUUCCCCUUUACUCCUCACCACUCUUUUUUUUUUAUUUUAGCAGGUAUGGAGUUCAAUCUACGCUGUUCAGAAUCUAUGCCCGACUUCUCCAGAAUCGGAAUGAUGAAUGAAGAUGUUCCAAGUGAGCCCAACAGGCAGCCUCCUCCACUUCGUGGCUUCUUGAGAUCUCAAAUCCGAGCCCCAUGUGCUUUGAUCAGGGAUCUCCCAAUCAGAGACCAAGGAACGGCGACGGUGUUCAUUGAGGCGCUCAAGCUUCAACACCGGAAGCUUACGUCGGAAAAGAGGAGACUUCGGAAGAGGAUUAACCGAAUGCAACGCAGGCUUACUACAGUGUCAAGAAGUCUUCACAUCCUUGAAUCUCACCCCGGAGAGUGGAUUGAGCUUGGAAUUUCUGACUUUGCUCGAAUUCCGGACUGCAUGAUGCCGAUCCUUGAUCUUGCUGGUCAAGGAGUUGAAGUGUUCUGCUCAUCAACAAGAUUUCCAUAAUCCGAAGUGUACGAUGAAGGACAUUCUGUUUUUUUUUUUUUUUUUUUAAAUAACGCUCUAUUUCCAAUUCCUUGUAUGUUCGUUUAGCCGAACCUUCUAUUUGCUUCACUUGUUCGCACAGUCGAACCUUUCUCCUUUAAUAAAGAAAUAAAACAAAUUUUUAUUAAUAGCUGAACUCGUUUUCGAGCUGCCUACGUACCCAUCUUGGGAUCAAGCCACACCGUAGUUCAUGUACAUAAACAAUGCAUGUAGCUUUAAACAUAAAAUUUCUUUAGGUUGAUCACAUUCCAAGGUCGCUUGACUGGAUUGUCUUCUAAGUCUUUCAACCUAUAAACACCGUUCCGAACCACUUCGGUAAUAAUGUAAGGUCCUGCCCAAUUAAUACCGAGUUUACCGGCGCCUUCUUCUUUUCUGUUAUCAAAGACGCGCCUUAAUACAUAAUCUCCCACGAAGAACGGCCUACUUUUAACCUUAGAAUUGUAAUACCGGGCUGCUGCCUGUUGGUAAUUCUGGAUCCGGACUAGAGCUUGAUCACGCCUUUCAUUUAUGGUAUCCAGUGAAUCAUUAAGCAUUGCUGAAUUUUCUUCCUCAUUUAACGGUGCUUCUGUUCGACGAAGUCCGGGCACAUUGAGUUCAGCUGGUACUACCGCCUCCAUGCCAUAAACCAAAGAGAAUGGAGUUUCUCCUGUAGGUCGCCUAGGAGUCGUACGAUAGGCCCACAGGACGGGUUGGAGUUCUUCAUACCAUCCUCCCUUUAGAUGACUUAAGCGUUUCUUGAGAUUGCUUAAUAUUGUCUUGUUCACGGCUUCAGCUUGUCCGUUCCCUUGCGGAUACCGUGGAGUAGAAUAACUAACUUUGAUUCCCCAGUCCGCACAAAAGGCAUCAAACUCGUGUGAAAUGAAUUGUGGCCCGUUAUCAGUGACUAUUUCGUAUGGAACUCCAUGUCGACAUAUAAUGUUUUUCCAAAUAAAGGUCUUCACCGCCGAAUCCUUGAUACCAACAUACGCCUCAGCUUCAAUCCAUUUUGAAAAGUAGUCCGUAAGGACUAAAAGGUACUGUACACCUCGAGUUGAUUUGUGCAAUGGCCCAAUGAUGUCCAUUGACCAUCUCAUAAACGGGUAUGGGGCGGAAAUGGAGGAGAAUAAUUCCGACGGUUGAUGGAUCAAUGGUGCAUGGAGUUGGCAGCGCUUGCAUCUUUGGGCGAACUUAACACAAUCUGUGAUCAUAGUGGGCCAAAAAUACCCCAUUCUUUUAACUUUAAAAGCCAUAGCUCUUCCUGAUGAAUGACUCCCACAUAAUCCUUCAUGCACCUCGCUCAUGACGAUUUCUUCGGGCCCAAAAAUGCAUAAUAGGUAAGGGUCACUGACACCUCGUCUAUACAACGCAUCCUUUGACAGACAAAAUUUUGCGCUAACGACUUUCAUUUUCCUGGCCUGUCAUUUAUUCUUUGGGAGCUCACCUGUCAUGAUGUAGUGCUUUAUUGGCUCCCUCCAAUCAGCCCCCCAGUCUUUAGCCGGAAUUUGAUCAACUUUUUGGAAUAUUCGUGGCUCUGGUUCGGGAUGCUCGUUUGGUUCAAGAACAUCUUCCUCGAUUAAUGGCUUGGUUUCUAACAUCGUUUCUGGAACCACUUCUUCAGCUAAGACAACGGGUUCCUUGUUAGAUGUAUUUGAUCCCUUUGACUUCCUGCGUUUGUUGGGUGGCGGUUCGAUCUCUGGUUCGCCACGGUUGCGUGCCGCUGCUCGAGACCUUGUAACGACGAGGGUUUCCUUGCUGUCUUGAAUGCUUCGCUCCGAGAUGCACUCUACUGGAAUAACUCUCUUUAACUCAGGAUAUGAUGUUGACGCCAAUGCGGCAAGUGCAUCUGCAGUUGUAUUCUCUCCCCGAGGUAUGCGGAUUAACUCGAAUUUCGAGAAAUUUUUAGAUAGAUCCUUCACCACUUCGAGGUACGCUUCCAUUCUUGAAUCUUUGGCUUCAUAGUCUCCAUUAAAUUGGUUAACUACUAAUUGCGAAUCGCAAUAAGCCAAUAUUUCCUUAGCUCCAACUCCUUGUGCUAGUCGAAGUCCGGCAAUAAGGGCUUCGUAUUCUGCCUCGUUGUUGGAGGCAUUGAAUAACAAUCGGAAUGAUUGUUCUAGAAUUUCUGAUGUCGGAGAUUCCAACCUAAUUCCCACUCCGGAUCCUUGCUUUGUUGAAGACCCAUCUACGUGUAAUUUCCAAGUUUGGUUCUCCGGUUGAUCUAUCGUUCCAGGUAUUGGUAGUUCGGUCAGGAAGUCUGCUAAGACCUGAGCCUUCAUACUGAUCCGGCUUUUGAACUCUAUGUCGUACUCGCUUAAUUCCACCGCCCAUUUCGCCAAACGUCCGGAUUGACUUGGACUAUGAAGUAUUGUUCUGAGUGGUUGGUUAGUUAAUACUUCAACCGGAUGGGACUGAAAAUAUGGACGCAGCUUCCGAGCCGAAGUUACCACCGCGAGUGCAAGUUUUUCCAUCAUUGUGUAUCUGGUUUCCGGAUCCGUCAUUGACUUGCUCACGUAGUAAAUUGGUUUCUGCUCCCCACGGUCUUCCCGAACCAAGACUCCACUAACCGCGUGGUUUGAAACUGAAACGUACAAGUAGAGUUUUUCAUCCACUUCCGGUUUGGACAGUAUAGGUGGAGUGGUUAAGUAUGCCUUAAGCUGCCCAAAAGCUUCUUCACACUUCUCAUCCCAAAGAAAUCCUUUGUUCCCUUUUAGAAUUUGGUAGAAAGGCAACGACUUAUCUGUUGAUCUCGAGAUAAAACGAUUCAAGGCCGCAAUCCGCCCAGUCAACCGUUGUACUUCUUUGAAGUUUCUCGGAGAUGGCAUGUUUAGAAAGGCGUUAAUUUGAUUUGGAUUGGCUUCAAUCCCUCUUUCUAUCACGAUAUAGCCAAGGAAUUCUCCGGAUGGGACUCCAAAUGUGCACUUCGCCGGGUUCAGCUUCAUUUGAUAUUUAUUGAGAAUAUCAAUACAUUCUUCCAAAUGUUUAACAUGAUCUUCUUUCUUCAACGAUUUAACCAACAUAUCAUCUAUGUAGACUUCCAUAGUCUUCCCGAGGUGAUUGUGAAACAUUUUGUUCACCAACCGUUGGUAAGUCGCUCCUGCAUUUUUCAAUCCAAAAGGCAUUACCUUGUAACAGUAGAUACCUCUAUCUGUGAUAAAUGACGUCUUUUCUUGAUCGUCGGGGUUCAUCAUUAUCUGAUUAUAACCCGAGAAGGCGUCCAUGAAUGUUAACAGCUCAUUUCCAGCGGUGGACUCUACAAGUCGAUCUAUAUGCGGGAGCGGGAAACUAUCUUUGGGACAUGCUUUAUUUAGGUCUGUAAAGUCGAUGCAAACCCUAUCUUUCCCAUUCUUUUUCUUGACAACGACAGUGUUUGCUAUCCACUCCGGAUAUUGCACUUCUCUUAUGGACCCCAUCUUCAAAAGAUUAUCCACUUCGUCGUUUACUAUUUUUGCCCGCUCCACUCCAAGCUUUCUUCUUUUUUGUUUCACCGGUUUGAAGCUUGGAUCUACGUUUAGUUCAUGACAAAUUAUACUCGGAUUUAUGCCCGGCAUGUCCGCUGCAGACCAUGCAAAUGAUGCUUUGUUUUUCCUUAAGAGUUCGAUCAAAGCUUCUUUUAUUUGGCCAGUCAAAGUUGCUCCAAUUCUAAUUUUCCGGUCCGGCUUGUCUUCUUCCAGUACCACUUCGACUACUACAUCCUCUUUUUUCUGCCCACUAGGAAAUUUUGUUUUUAGUCCUUCUUUUGCGGGCUUCGUUAAUUGCUAUUGAAUCUUCAUACGGUGGCUAGCUAAGUAACAAGUCCGCGAAGCUUCUUGAUCUCCCCGAAUCGUUUCCACCCCAUUUGAUGUUGGAAAUUUGAUACAUUGAUGGUAUGUAGAGGGGACUGCUUUCAUCCGAUAAAUCCAGGGAGUCCCGAGGAUGAUGUUGUAAGCUGCGGGCUUAUCGAAGACAACAAAGUCCACGAUCUUCGAUACCUUCUUGGCAAGGACCGGUAGCUUGAUUGUUCCGAGAGAUAUGGCUGACUCGCUUGUGAAUGCAACUAACGGAGAUGGGGGUCCUACUAUGUCUCCUCGGCUGAUUCCCAUUUUUUCUAGAGUACUUAAAAAGAUUAAGUCAACCAAACUGCCUGUAUCUAUAAGGAUCCUCGAUACUUCGAAGUUGGCGACAUCAAGGGUAAUGACUAGAGCAUCAUCAUGAGGCCUUUUGAGGUACCGCGUUUCUUCUUCAUCGAAUGAUAUUGAUGCACCUUGAAAAUCGACUUCUUCGCUUAAGCUUGCUUUGAGUAAGACAUUUCGUCUAUGCUUUUUGAUUGAACUUAUUGAAUCUCCGCAAAAUCUGGAUCCCCCUAGAAUCACAUUGAUCUUACCCUUAGAACUCCUUGGUUCUUCCUCGUUGGACAAUCUUGGUCUUUUGGAAUUUUGAUCUUUGGAGUUUUCCCUUGCUUCGUGGUAUUCCUUCACAAAAUCUUUUAUAUCGAAUUUAGAAAGAUCGCCACUAGCCCAAAGCUCUGCGAGGUGCUUUUUAAGAACGCUGCAAUCCUUAGUUAAAUGUCCGGUUACUUUAUGAAUGUCGCAAUAUAGACUUUCAUCACGGACCCAAGUGUUUGAUCUCCCUUUCCCUUGGAAUUGCUUUCCAACGGUACUGUUGAAGGGUUGCGACCCAAAUUUCCUUGGUCCUUUGCUUUCCCUAGGCUCGAACUUCUUGGCAGGGACGGUGAUUGCUGGCUUUUCUUGCUUACUUCUUUUGGCGAAACUUUCUUUUUCGUCCUCUACCUCCAUCCAAUUGUUCGCGCGAAAGAGUGCAUCCUGAAUUGUGUCUGGUUUAUGAAGUAUUAAGUCUUCUUUAAACUUUGAAUCAUGUCGCAAUCCUUUUCGUAGGGCAGAUAAAGCUGAUUGCUGUGAGAUUCUUGGGAGUUUUGACAGCACUCCUUUGAAUUUGGUGAUGAAAACUCGAAGUGACUCACUAGAUCCUUGCGAUAAGUUCCAAAGAUCAGCAUCCGAAACACUUUUAUCCAUAAGAAUGGAGUAUUGCUUUAAGAAUACGGCUGAUAGUUCGUCGAAAUUGCUGAUCGAACCUGGCUCUAAUUGGGUGAACCACAUUAGAGCUUGGCCACACAGAUUCUCCGAAAAAAGCUUGCAGUAACCUGCAUCCUCAUCAGCUUCAUCCAAUUCGACUCUUCUAGCAGCAAUCAGAAAAGCUGCGAGAUAGCUUUUUGGAUCCUCCAAUCCGCUGUAAGGGUCCAACUUGAGUUUCCGGGAAUCUUUGAUCCUCAAACUUGCAAUUCGCGGGAUAAAAGGGGUUCGCCUAGCUUCUUCAAUGACUGGAUUGAUGUCUGGCUCCGAACUUGUAGCCUGAUAAAAUUUUGAUUUCAUUUCUUUUAAUUCCUGGCUAACCUUCCUCAUGGUCUCGAACUGGUCGAGGUUCUCCUGCUCGUACUGAGCUGCAAGUUGUUCUUCAUCCCCGAGCUGCAUCUCUUCUUCCGACGUCUGAGCUACAUUAUUAGUAGCACCGGGAGUUGUUUGUCCGCUGGUUUCAUUUCGUGCAGCGGAACUUGGCGAGUUGAAUAUCCCUCUUCGGGUUCCCACCGGGUUUCCUGCACUUAAAGAGCGAACACGAGUUUGUAUAUUAUUGACGUUUUGACUAAGAGAUACCUGGGAUGUUUGCAACGUAUCGACGGCCUUCUCCACAUCCGAGAACUUUUGUGAUAUGUCCGACAUGGUUUGCUGCAUAGCUUUGAGGGUUUCGGCCAAUGAUGUCUCAACGGCGUCUCCUCCGGACAUUGUCGCUUAUCUCGGAAAUGUAGAAAAGAAGAAAUCUGACCACUCAAGAAUCCUGAUAUCCCCACAGGCGGCGCCAAAAUGUGGAUGUCGGAUUCACACACUCAAGUAUUUUGUUAAGUGGGAAAGAUUAUUCUUGAGGGAUAAAAAUGAAUAUAUAAAAACUUAUAAAUUGAUACGAAAAUUGCUAUAGUAUUUCUCUCUUGAGAGGAAGAUCCCCUUUUACAUGGCCAUUGGCCUCUAUAUUUAUACAUAGAGAAACGACAUUAAAAUGAAUAAUUAAGUACAAUUAUUCCUUCUUAAAUGUGUCCGUUUUGAUUCUUCGAUUUUAAUGCUCAACGUUUGAAUUUGAGUUGACUCUGAUCUUCAUGGGCCUCGCCUUUUUGGCCCAAGUGUCCUUGAACCGACUUACCCGUGUCUUCUACACUGAACUCGUAUCACAGUGCAGUCACUUCGGAUUCUCGAUGUGGUGACAACCACUUCGACCGUCCCCUCGGUUCACGGGUCCAAUGGGCUUCAUCCUUUAUGGGCCACCCACUUGACUAUGUGGCAAUCUUUGGUUGGUCUCGUACUUCUGGUGCGAGAUCCGACACCAACAACAUACAAAAGUAUUAAUAAAAUAAUCAAUAUUCUUAUUUAAAUAUAAAAGUCUCUUAAAAAAGUCGAGAUAGUCUCUCACUUGAAAUAUUAUGAAAGACUUUCUUUACUUUUUUGAAAGACUCUUGUAUUUAAAUAAUAAUAUUGAUUAUUUUAUUAAUACUUUUAUAUGUGAAAAAUUUUGGUGAGAGACUUCUAUUACACAUGCUUUUAGGUUUUUAUCGCGAUUAGGUGUUGGAAGAGAGUGACAAGUGACGAACAACUCCAGCCUCUGCGUCUGCAUGCUAUAUAUGUGUGAUUUGUAGCUCAUGUUCUGACGUGACAUCUUGUGAACGAUUUUUAAGAAGAAGCCAAAAAGAUUAUUAAAACAGAAAUACAGAAUUAAUUUGGUUUCAGCGGAAUAUGUGAGAGUCAAUCUUUUGGUGGUAUAGUGCAAUUGGAAAAUAUGUUUUGGGAGCUUAAUCUGAAAUGUAGAUGUUAGAAAAUGAUUCUAUAUAUAUAGUCACGGUGCACGACCCAACAGUGUUAUAAAUAUGUAAAUGAUCAGGGAAUACAACUCAGAAGACUAAAGUAUUAUUUUAUAGAGAAAUUGGCCAAAAUGGCUACAAAAUAUAGUGAAAUCGAAAAAGAAAAAAAAAAAAAGAAAUCGAAAUUAUAGCAUAGUGACAAAUUGAGACUUUUUUUUAGAACAAAUUGACUCAUAUCUCUAUAACAUUAACAAUUUAUAAAAAAGGUUGUGUAUAUACUAUAUAGUAGUUUUCAAUGUGUUUAUCGGUGUUUAAUUUGUAACCUGCGAUGCGAAUGUCUAGUAAAAUAUUUCGGGAAUUAUCUCAAUUUGUUCUUCUCUUUGGUUCAACUUUUAUCCGGUAUUUUUUACUCUUUUUUGACUACACGUUUUAGGUCCAUUAGACCAUCCUUAUUGCAAGGUUCUUAACAUGGUUCUUAAAGAAAUUGAGAUUAAAAUUAAAUGUUUAAUUGUUGAUUUUGGUAAGAAAUGGCUCUUAACUAAGAGUCAAAAUUAAUGUUAAGAGACGGACACGUGUCGCGUUUCUCUUUCUUCUCCUCCUCUCUCUCUUUUUCGAGAUUUUUAUUCUUUUAGCGACAACGGAGGCAAAAUCCGGCUCUUAUUUGGGAUAAGACAAAAAUAGGCAAUAUUAUGCAAGCAUGUAUAAUACUUCAUAAUAUGAUAGUAGAAGACGAACGAGAUGGGUAUACUCUGUUUAAUGUAACCGAAUUCCAACAAGCGGAAUCUGCCGGAAGUUCACAGGUGGAUUUCACCUAUUCUACAGAAAUGCCUACAAAUUUCGUCGAAAUGAUGGCCGCUAGAACUCGAGUUCGAGAUCGAGGUAUGCAUCAAGAAUUGAAGAAGAAUUUGGUCGAGCAUAUAUGGACUAAAUAUUCCAGAAAUCAAACUUAAAUUUUUUGUGCUUUAUGUUAUGUAUGUUUUAAAUUGUAUCUCAUGUAUGUUUUAAAUUUUUAAAUUUGCAACAAUUAUUAAGUUUUAUAAAAUUUUAGUUUUGUUUAAAAAAAAAAAUUUCUAAGAACCAUAUGCUAAGAGACUACCAUUGGAGAUAAAUAAAAUUUGAAAACAAAAUACAAGCUCUUAAGUAAAAUUUUUACAAUUUUAAUACUAAAAAAUUACUAAGAACCAUCGGUGAGCUACUGCCUUCAAAAAAUAACUAAAUUUUUUCACUACGAAAAAAAUCUCAUCAAAUCAUUUUUCAGAUGGACUAUUCAUAAACCAAUCUCAAACUCUAGUUAUAGUAUAGUCGUUUAUGGUGUCAUACCAUUCAUAAACAAACUGUAUACCAUUCUCAUAUAGAUUAUCAAUCUCAAAUCGAAGAUUGUACAUCAUUUCGUUUAUGCAAGUUAUAGUUUUUUGUUCAUUUAUAUGCUUCGUUAUAGCUUUUUAAAGAAGAAAUUUGGACACCAGUUUUUUAAAAUGGUACUUUUAGCCACAAAUUAAUAAUUAAAAACAUUUUUUUUUUUUUGACAAAGACAUGUAUACCAUUUGUUAAAGUAGCAAGAAAGAUCAAACUGCAAAUUCAUUCCCUUGGUCUCUACGCACUUGAAGUCUUAAUUAGUUACAAUUUACACAUUAUAUCUCUGAUGAGUAGUAGUCUAUGAUCUUUCCGUGGAGCAGUAGCCUAUGAUUUUUCCCGUUCAUUGUAGUAAAGUUAUUUUUAUCUAACCGUCAUGAAUUUUUAGAGAGCAGCAGCAAAUUAAAUUUAGCAAACCAAAAACAUAAACAAAACUCUUAUUUAUUAAGGAGUAGUGCUAAUUACAUUAGCCUCAAACAUACUAAAGCUUACAUUUUCAUAAAACACAAGAUGAGGUGUGGUAUCAACAACCACACUCUCAUACGCUUUGAGAGUUUUGUUUGGAAUUUAGUAGUAAGAAGGGAAUGAAGGGAUCUUGAAGGGGCAAACAUCAACUUGCGGGAUGUUGCAAACUUUAGGCAAGUUCUUAGCUGUCUGGAAAAUUUUCCUAACUUGCAUUGGUUG
rnacentral:lncRNA from 1 species